rnacentral:rRNA from 1 species
UACGUAGGGUGCAAGCGUUAAUCGGAAUUACUGGGCGUAAAGCGUGCGCAGGCGGUGAUGUAAGACAGGUGUGAAAUCCCCGGGCUUAACCUGGGAACUGCAUUUGAAACUGAAAGGCUAGAGUGUGGCAGAGGGGGGUGGAAUUCCACGUGUAGCAGUGAAACGCGUAGAGAUGUGGAGGAACACCGAUGGCGAAGGCAGCCCCCUGGGCUAACACUGACGCUCAUGCACGAAAGCGUGGGGAGCAAACAGG